rfam:Glomerella graminicola M1.001 genomic scaffold supercont1.19, whole genome shotgun sequence.
ACAUACGACCAUACCCACUGGAAAACUCGGGAUCCCGUCCGCUCUCCCAUAGAUAAGCCAGUGAGGGCCGGAUUAGUAGUUGGGUCGGUGACGACCAGCGAAUACCUGGUGUUGUAUGUA